ensembl:lncRNA
UAGCACUGAGCGGAGCGUUCUCAAUAAAGAAUGCUGCUGAAGAUUACCCAAGAGUCUCCUGGUCUUCGCUUCUGAGUUUCCAACAGUUUUGGUGCCGUGACCCGGAUAGAGCUUCUCACCUGAAUCCAGAUUGACUUCGUUCCAGACUGAAUCUUUCUGUACAACCAAGGGUUGGUAUGUGUGCAUGAGAUGUCAUCUCCAUAAGCAGCACCCUGGUGUAAAGCAUCACCUCAGACAUCCAUGAACAAGCUUCAUGAGGACCAAGAAUCAUCUGCAUGAAUCUACAUGGGAAAUGGACUACAGAAAACAGACUUCACAGGUAUUCAGGCGCCAUGGACUUCAAGACUUCCACUCUUAUGCUACAGGGUUUUCUGUGUCAUCAUGUAGUUUUCCACGACAUUUGACCAUCCAUGUCAUAUGUGUCAACAGUUAUGGUUCUAAAUAUAACUGUUACACCUAAGUAAAUCUAGGACAAGACACAGAAUAAGUUAUAUGUGCCUGUAACCUUUUCAAGUUACAUGACUGCAAGAUGGGGCUUAUGUUAACAAACAUAGGCCAUAGAAUGGACUUAUGAAAGUUUAAAUUUGUAUUAUGUGAGAGUUAUUAGAACUCUCAACGGGAGGACUGUGGGAUUACAAAUUUAUAAAAUGUUAAAUCUAGGUUCCAAUGUAAUAGUAUGUACAUUGUGUUUUUACAUUUUGAGGAUAAUAUGAUGACAUUCUGAGAUGAUCAAGUCAAGCAGCCCAGGUUUCUGAGACAUUGACCUUUUGUUUGAUCUUCCUGACCAUAAACUCAAGGCACAGCUGUGCCUUUGUUUCUAUGAUAAUGUGAAGGUAUGGGCGAUACUGUCAGGCACCUCUGUAUUUAACCCUCUGGAGUCGAUUAACGCGUAUACGCGUUUUGGGGUAUUUUCUCCUGAUAACCCCGAAAAGAACUUAAAUUACACUUUCAGUUUUGAUCGUACAGAUAAGUGCAAUACAUCAAUCGAAUCUGUAAAGGGUCUAUUUUUUUUUGUAUACAGACAUAAUAACAACAAAACUUUGUGCACUUAUAAAAUAAAGAUAACAAACAAGGAGUGCUGUCUGCAGCCUUUGUCUGCGCUGAUCUUCAGAUACAAAUGCGUCAUUAAAAUGAACUGUAACUCAGUGAAUACUCAACGAAGAGACAUGAGAGAGAUAUCUAUAGAAAGCCUGACAUGUCUACUUUUAAACUAAAC